UUUCAAGCUUGUGUCUUUGAAUAUAGAGAUUUCACUCACAUAUACUUGUCUUGUCGGUUUUAGAUUGGAUACAGACAUAUCGACUGUGCUUCCAUAUACGGUAACGAGAAAGAGGUAAUAUUGCUAAUUUACAUUAACAAUCUCUCUAAUGUCUGAAAAAAAUUAUAUCUUUUUUAGCUAUUUCCAUUUUGAACUGUGAUCUUAAUCAUUUGGCAAUGGAACCAAAUUUUUUUUUUGUUUCCUUUGAAUUUUUUACUGGUAUUCGAAUCUAGAGUGAAAGUUAAAACUUUGUGGGCUCAUUGUUGUCAAAAUAGGUUCAAUUGAGCUCACAUUAUGUGUAACAUCUUUGCUUCCAUUGAAAGAGUUAUAUGAAUGUUUAGUUUUGGGGGGUUGAAGUGUCCUGCCUCUUUGUUUCUUUGUUCUCACGCUAUGAUUGCAUUUAUGCUAAGAUUGGUAGUGUAUUGAAGAAGCUCAUAGAUGAUGGUUUCGUGAAGCGUGAGGAGUUAUUCAUCACUUCGAAACUCUGGUUUGCCUUCUUUUCCUACCAUCUUUUCUCUUGUGGACAUGCUUUUUUUUUUUUGGUUUGCACACACAUAUGUUCAUUGUUCUGCAGGUGCAAUGAUCAUUUGCCUGAAGAUGUCCCUAAAGCACUGGACAAAACAUUGCAUGACUUACAAAUUGACUACGUUGAUUUAUAUCUGGUACAACAUAACCUCAAAGAUUGCAUCUUUAAAAUGUUUUAUAUAAUUGUUUCUAUUUUGAAUGUGUGUUUUGCUUUUUUUGUUGAAGAUACAUUGGCCAGUGAGCUUGAAGAAGGAAUCACGUGUGCCAACACCUGAAACACUCACAAAACCUGACUUACCAAGUACAUGGAAAGCAAUGGAAGCUCUCUAUCACUCUGGAAAAGCUCGGGCCAUCGGUGUGAGCAACUUCUCUUCCAAGAAGCUCGUUGAUCUUCUAAACGUGGCACACGUAGUCCCUGCUGUUAACCAAGUGGAAUGCCACCCAGUGUGGCAGCAACAAAGUCUUCAUGAACUAUGCAAAUCCAAAGGAGUUCACUUAUCCGUGAGUAUACACAUUCUGAUUUGACUAUGUUUCUUGCUGGUAUGAAUUAACGAAGACACCAUCAUUGGUUUCGGCUUUGAUGAUAGGGUUACUCUCCAUUGGGUUCACAAUCUAAGGGAGAAGUCAGGUUAAAGGUUCUUCAGAACCAGAUUGUCGCCGAGGUUGCAGAGAAACUUGGAAAGACCACCGCUCAAGUGGCUCUUCGUUGGGGACUCCAAAUGGGUCAUAGUGUCCUACCAAAGAGCUCGAGCGAGGCUAGACUCCAGGAGAAUCUUGAUGUUUUUGACUGGUCCAUACCUGAAGAUCUGCUUGUCAAGUUCUCCAACAUUCCUCAGGCAAGUUCUUUCCUGUUUUUCCAUUCUUUUUACGGGAGAUUAUUAAGUCAGAUUCUGGGAAAAAUCAUCCCACAUAACUCUAAGAACACCCUUCAUUGUUGAUUAUUUAGAUCAUCGAAUCUUGGUUUUCACGUUUCCUUUAAAUCUUGCAGGAGAAGUUAGUCCCAGGUGCUGAUUUCGUGCAUGAGACGAAUGGCUUCUAUAAGACCAUUGAUGAGCUAUGGGACGGUGAAAUCUGAAAAGCUUCAUCUAGACGUUAAGGACAUCGAAUUAUUUUCUGUUUAAUAAAUCCUUCAUGUUUGUUAUCGGUUAGAAACACUACAUGAAACUUCCCAAGCUUUGGAAACUGUUUACUUAGUUCAGUCUUCAAACAAUAGACUGUGUACUACGAAUUCAUCAUAACUGCUUUAGUCCAACCUGCGAAUAUAUCCUUCAUAUUUUAGCGUUGAAAAUCUUGUGUAAUCCGCAAAACUUAUGUAUGAUCUGAAAUCGAAAUCCAAACCCUGACCGUUAGAAAACUAUAUUAUUUGAUCUUACAAAUGCGUUUCCAUCUCUAUUAAUUGCAAAUCUGAAUAUUUUUCUACCUUCGCCUUUCGUCGUAUGUUGCUCGUGGAGCAGAGGAAAUGAGGAAUGCUACAUUGAUGUGUAGUGUUGGAUCCUAUCCGUUUUCAAUAUUCUGUUUUUUUUUUUAUUUGCUUCCGUGAAAGCAUCUCCAAUGGUCUUUCAUUUUUCAUUUUUUUCUUUUAUUUUGAAGAUAAAAAUGAAGAAAUGUUCUCCAAUGGUAUUUCAAAUUCAUCUUCAAAAUGAAAAAAUAAACAGUGUUCCUUCAAAUUUAAAGGAAUACUGUUCAUUUCUUCAUUUUUUGAAGGUAAACUUUUUUAUUUAUAAAAUGUAUCUUUGACUUUUUACAUGCUUUGUUUUAUACACAAACAAAAUUUAUAUGUUUUUAAUCCAAUUAAUUUUAAAACUGUUAAUUUUUUUAAUUAAAUUAUAAAAUAAAAAUACAAUAAGCACAGUAAAAAUAUACAAUAACAUAUAUUAUAUAGAAAAUACAAGAACAUAGAAAUCAAAAAUGCAUAAUUAAUACUAAAUUAUUUAUAAAUAAUAAACUUAACAUAACAUAAACUAACAACUUAAUAAUUUGGAAAAUCACUUCCAGGUCCAUCAAGAUGAUUAAAAUACUGUCCAAAUGAAGUUGAUGCUGAAGGAGGAGUUUGCUGAUUUUGUUGUUGUUCAGCCAUUUUCUGUAAAAUCCGUGCUUGUUCAGCUUGAACAUAUGUUAAAAAAAAAUAUUUUGCUACACAACAAGAAGCUAGCAAGAAAGAUGUAGAACGGGCAUUUGGUGUUCUUCAAUCACGUUUCGCAAUUGUGAAAGGGCCAGCUCGUUUUUGGGAUAAGAAUGUGUUACAUGACAUAAUGACCAUUUGUAUAAUUUUACAUAAUAUGAUAAUUGAAGAUGAGCGUGAUCUCAGUGCACCAAUUGAAGUAAGAAGAAAAGUUCCACCUCUAGAGGUUAAAAUAGAAGCGAAUGAAAGUAUCCGGUUCCAAGAAUUUUUGGCUCGUUAUAAAAAAAUCAAGGAUAAAGAAGUUCAUUUCUCUCUUCGAAAUGCAUUAAUUGAUCAUCUAUGAGAAAAAUAUGUGCCUUCUAGUACAUCAUAAAAUUAUGCAUGAUUUGUUCUUAUUUACAUUAUAUAUUAUGUAUUGUAAUUUUCUUUAUGUCAUAAAUUUUUAAAUUAUAUAAAAAUUAUAAUUUGGUUGAAUAAUUAUUUUACGUAAAUAAAUAGGUGAAAAUUUGUAAAACUGAAAAGUAUAGGACCUUGUUAGCAAUUAAUAAAAAAAUAGAGAUAAAAUAUGCAUGAAAUAUUCUUUUUGAAGAAAAAAAUGAAGAAAGUUUGCUCCAAUUCAUUUUUGAAGGAAAAAAUGAAGAAACCAUUGGAGAUGCUCUUAGUGUGUACUCUGUUUUGAGAUUUUUUUUUCAUUUAUUUUGCAAUAUUUUAAAAAUAAAAUAAUAUUAUUCUCCAAUUUAUUCUCUUCUUAUUAAGCGAAUGAAUAGCAUGUGUAUUUAUUGAAGAUCAAUUUUUAGCAAAUUAUUCUUGCAGAAGGAGUUGAUUAUUUCAUAAUUGUAUACAGUUUUAGAUAUGUGUAUCUAUUUAACCUAUUGUGCUGGUUAGUCAGAGGUGCUGAUUUCACGUAUGAGACGAGCAGUUUAUAACACCAUUGAUGAGCUAAGGACAUUGAAUUGUCUUUUGUUUAUAUAACCCUUUAAGUUUGUUCUCAGUUAAAAACCACUAUCACAUGAAAUAAGGUUUGGCAACUGUUUCCUCAUCAGUCUUUAAUCAAUAAAAUGUUUUCAACUAGUAUUACAAAUUCAAUAUAACAACUGUAGUCGAACAUACAAAUAUAUCCUUAGCUCGCUUUGUAAAUUUUCUACAAACCUCAAUAAGUAUAUAUGAUCCGAAAUUAAAAGUUAAACGUAACAUUGAAAAGAUGUAUAAAAUGUGGAUAAUUAAUGAUACAAGUAUCUAGAUUGUUAAAAAUUUUAAAAUUUAUUAAUAAAAGAAUAAUGGACUUUUACAAAUUUUUGGAUGAACUUUCCUUUAUGAAGUAGCUAAAGAAUAUGGGAAGAAAAUACUAUUGGUCUUCAAUGGAUCUCUUUCACUUGAAACCAAUGUUGGAGAAGAAGUUCAUAACGAGAUGAGGACGUGAGGCCGUGAGAGCAAGGAAAAGACUCUAUUGUGGAUAGUCGAUAAGCAGGACAUUGUCAUUAUGGAUUGUCGGAUGACAAUAUUCCUUCUGUCGCCUAUUAUUAUUCUCCCUCAAGAUAUAAGAUAUAGUAGUCUGAAACAUAUACACAAAAAGGAGAAAACUAUCUCUAUCAAAUUAGUGGUGUAAUUCGAUGCAACAUUUCCGUCCAAUCUGGAUCAGCCGAUAGUUUUAAAACGUUACACAUAACAUCAAACCAUACUAUAUAUGAAUAUGGGUAAACGAAAAAUAAAUGGUCACAAAAAAAGAAAAAUAAAUGGUCACAAAUUUCAUUCCGCUCUUCACAUAAGAGACAAAGCUGAAUGCGGCUCCAACCUCAAGUAAUAGUUUUCUAUUGAUAAUAACCAAGUGAUCAUACAAAUACUCCUUUGUAUCUUAGUGAUUGCACUGUUAACCAAGUGAUCUUUUUUACGGCCGGUAAGGAAUCUUCUUAUUGACUCCGGGGGUCUUGAGUCUUUCAUCAAAAAUUACAUUAACGUCUUUUAAAAAAAAUUGUGUAGAACAAAUAAACUAUUUUUAUAAGUUAAAAGAAAAUUUUCUGUAUACAUAUUUAAUAAAUUCUCCCAUAUUAUUCUCAAAUUUAUUAUGUUCAAACUUCACAGGGAAAUGACACCGGCCGACAAAAAAAAAAGACACCGACCGUGCAAAAUGUACAGGAGCUCAAAUCAGCCGUCGAUUACCAUUUUCCAUUGGACAAAUAUAUGUGUGGGCCCAAAAUUAUGAUCACAUUCGACAUUAGCAAAAGAGGACAUCUAAAUGAACGGAUAAGAUACAUCCACGUCAUAGUCAAUAUCUGACGUGACAAUACUAACGCAAGAAAGAAAUCAAUUUUGGCCACGACUCUCCCGCCUUUGUCGCUUUCACUUCUUCCCUUUUUUUUUGGGUUCUUUUUUAAUUUAUUAAAAUGUUAAAUUUAUUACCCAAGAAAAGAAUGUUUUUUAUAUUUGUUCUAUUGAUUAGUGGACGUUGAGAAGUGCGCUGUGUAUGCUUUUGAACCAACGCUAUCGAUCUUUAAUCUCCGAUAAUGGCGAACGCGAUCAGAUUCUUCGAGCUUAACACCGGCGCUAAGAUCCCGUCGGUGGGUCUCGGAACAUGGCAAGCCUCUCCGGGCCUCGUCGGCGAUGCCGUCGCCGCCGCUGUAAAGGUUCGUCUUUUGGUUAACGCGAUUCCAUGGUUUCAUCGUAUUUUUCUGUCGAUCUCUUAUAAUUUCUUAGUUUUUGAAUAUACAAAAUGUUAACUUUUCCUAAUAACAAUAUGCUAAUCUCCAAGAUCUCCUAACAUAAUUCCAUACAUAAUGUUUUAGAGAGAUUAGUUCUCUGUUUCAAUUGGAUUUUUGUUUUUUUAAUGAUUAAUGUUUAUUGAUCGUUCAAGUCUUUGUAUGUAACUGUGCAAGUGAAGAUAUUUAAUCUUCUUUUUUUUUUGGUUGCAGCUCGGAUAUCGUCAUAUUGAUUGCGCUCAGAUCUACGGCAACGAAAAAGAGGUAGAAAGAUAACACAUAGAUGCUUGAUUUAGCCCAAUUGAAUAACAUUGAUGAUUCUUCUUUCAUAUGGAUUUAGUCAUUUUAGUGUGUCUUGAAUUGGUCGGUCUUACAUUUAACGAUCAAAUAUUAACAGUGUGUUUUUCCUCUUGACUAUACCUUUAUUGUGUUGAUUGCAAUGAGUAAUGACAAACAUGUGCAUUUUGAAUUUCAAUGAUCUGUUUUAUUUGUUGAAUCCUCAUAAAGCUUGUUGCUUUCCUGUUCAGAUUGGGACAGUCUUGAAAAAACUGUUUGAAGAUAGUGUAGUGAAACGCGAGGAGUUGUUCAUCACUUCCAAACUCUGGUAUCUUGUGUUAUACUGUGUUUAUUAGAAUGCAUUAUUCUAUGAAUUUAAGUGUAGCUUUAAUCUUGCAUUUUUCAUUUUGUGUUCCAUCAAAGGUGUACUGAUCAUGACCCUCAAGAUGUGCCAGAGGCACUAAACAGAACUCUACAAGAUCUGCAGCUUGACUACGUCGAUCUGUAUCUGGUAAGCAUCACUUUUCGUUGCAACAGUUGCACAAUUUAUAUUUUUGCUUAAGCAUAAUCCGUAUAGCAUUUUUCUUGAAGAUGCACUGGCCUGUACGGAUGAAGAAAGGUUCUGUUGGAGCUAAGCCAGAGAACCUUUUACCUGUAGAUAUUCCUAGCACAUGGAAAGCAAUGGAAGCACUCUAUGAUUCGGGCAAGGCACGAGCCAUAGGUGUAAGCAACUUCUCGACCAAGAAACUAAGUGAUCUCUUGGAGUCAGCUCGUGUUCCUCCAGCUGUUAAUCAGGUCGAGUGUCAUCCUUCUUGGCGACAAACUAAGCUAAGAGAGUUCUGCAAAUCCAAAGGAGUUCAUCUCACUGUAAGCAUCACUCAUCUCACCAAUCGUUGUUACUUCCUCUGCCUUGUGAAUAAAUGUGCAUUCACCUUAUGCAUUUGAUUGGAUAUUCUUGCAAGGCAUACUCGCCAUUGGGCUCUCCAGGAACAACGUGGCUCAAGAGCGAUGUUCUGAAGAACCCUGUACUGAUUAAUGUUGCGGAGAAGCUUGGAAAGUCUCCUGCGCAAGUUGCGCUUCGCUGGGGACUCCAAAUGGGUAAUAGUGUACUUCCAAAAAGUACUAAUGAAGGUAGAAUCAAAGAGAACUUUGAAGUUUUCGAGUGGUCAAUACCUGAUGACCUGUUCGCUAAGUUUUCAGAGAUUGAACAGGUACAGUGGCUACAUCACCACUUCGUUCUUGUACAUUUCAUUACAUAAGAUUAGUUGCUCUGCUUUUUCAUUGGUUUGAUCUAGAAUCAGAGUUUAUGUGUUUUGGAUUAAAAUGCAGGCUAGGUUAUUGACUGCUUCCUUCUUUGUUCACGAGACACUGAGCCCUUACAAGUCUCUUGAAGAAAUUUGGGAUGGGGAGAUAUGAUUAUUAUAUUCAGCUGAUCUAUUUUGUUUUGUCAAUAAAUGGGAGGUUUCUCUCUGUGUUGAACUUUUCAGUUUGCUCCUGAAUGUUACAGAAAAGGAAUGCCACUCAAAUAAUUUACAGCUUCUUAUUAUUUUGAAUUUUAACAAUGGAUCCAAUUAUACAUUUGCAAUGGAUCCGAUACGAGAAUAUUCUUGCAGCUAAAACAUCAUUAACCAAACUCUCACACUUUUAAGUAAAACUCAACAAUGAGACGAGUAUUUCAAGUAAUCAACAUAAAGUUUUGGAUAAUUGGCAAAAAGAAAUUAAACUUCAAAAAAUACAUAUAAAUGAGCAAUUCAGAUACCAAUUUUAACUGAGUUGGUUAUAUAGGAAGUAGAUGAACUGAAAUUGUGUUAAUGAAUUGCGGUCGGCGCAAUGUAUGCGUGGACCCCAAAAGGUACCACGUGGACCGAUCAUAUUCGAGAGAUCAAUGAUGAAAUCUAAAAACCACGAACUAGAUACUUCCACGUAAGGGUCAAUAUCUGACGUGACAAUACCAAAAAUUUCAAAAAAGUUCCCGGCUCUGUGGCUCUCACUUCUCCACACGUAAUGGUCAAUAAUACGCCUUUUAUUUUCUUGGAUUAGUGUACGUGUUGAGCCAACAGCAGAGAAUCUCAACACUCCAAUCUUUGAUAAUGGCAAAUGCGAUGAGAUUCUUCGAGCUCAAUACCGGCGCUAAGAUCCCGUCGGUAGGUCUCGGAACAUGGCAGGCCUCUCCUGGCCUCGUCGGCGAUGCCGUCGCCACCGCUGUUAAGGUUCGUCUUUCGGUUCAUCGUGUCGUGUUUGCUUCGGAUUCCACACUUUAUUCAGAGAUGUCACGACGCCUCUCUAUCUAUGUUUGAUCGUUGAGUUAGUUUUCAUCGUAAGUAGCUGUGAAACUGAAGUUAUUUAUUCUUGAAUUCUUAUUGCAGAUUGGCUAUCGUCAUAUUGAUUGCGCUCAGAUGUAUGGCAACGAAAAUGAGGUAAUUAGAAACAUUGAUGCUUGAUUUAGCCAAGCUUACUUAUUUUAUAUGUUUUCCUUGUGCUUUGUGUAUUAUCUCUAGCUAGGCAUUGAUUUGAAAUUAGCCAGCCUUAAGUAGUCGUUAAUCAAUGAAAAAAAUUAUUCCUUUUUUUGGUCAAGUAUUUCAAUUUUUAGUUAUGUAUAGUUAAAUUUAUGAUUUACAACUACGUAAUUAUGAGAGUGAUUUGAUCAAAAUCUGAAUUUGAUUUGAUAAUUAUCUUAUGGAGGCCUAAUCUCAUCAAUAAUUUGAUAUUUCGUAUUUGAGUAUUAUUGGCUAAUAUUUCUGUCAAAUGUUUGUUCCUCUUAAAAUUUUAAAGUUUUUAUUUUUGAAAUAUCUAAACUUUAGUAUCUAUGGACCAUGUUAUAAUCUUUACAUAUAUAAUGUAUAUAUUUAUCAUAGGAAUAAUAUCUCAACUGCUUGUUUAGUCCCAGUGAUAAAAUGUGUAUUUUUCUUGGUCAAUGGUCUGCUUAAUUAUGUUAUAUUCCCAAUCUCUUGAAGCUUGUUGCUUUCUUGUUUCUGUCUGGUUGUGUCUCCAAUGAGGAUACUGAAAGAUCUUUCCUCCUGUGCAGAUUGGGGCAGUUUUGAAAAAACUGUUUGAAGACAGUGUAGUGAAACGCGAGGAGUUGUUCAUCACCUCCAAACUCUGGUAUCUUGCGUUGUAUUGUGUUUAUCCAAUGAUUAAUGAACAUUCUGUGACUAAUGUGUAGCCCUAAUCUUGCAUUUUCAAUUUGUGUAUCAUCCAAGGUGUGCUGAUCAUGACCCUCAAGAUGUGCCUGAGGCAUUAGACAGAACUCUACAGGAUUUGCAGCUUGACUACCUCGAUUUGUAUUUGGUAAGCAACUAAGCAUCACUUGGAUGGAAAUGUUAUGUGAUAAAAUUUUAAGUUGAAUUAGUUUUUCACUAAAAACCAAUUGAUAAUGAGCACAUAUAUUGACCCAUAUUACUUUAGAUCUCAUAUUAUUUAUUUUCAGAUGUGAGUGUCCUAACCUAUCUCUUCAACAAGUGUUGAAACUUGUUUAUAUUUCCGCUUAAACCUAAUCUAAAUAGCAUUUCCGCUUUUGGGGAUCGAUUGUUCAUAGAGGGAAGACUAUUUCAUAACAGUUUCUUUGUGUUUAUUUUUUUUGGAAGAUGCACUGGCCUGUACGAAUGAAAAAAGGUUCUGUAGAGCUUAACCUCGAGAACCUUUUGCCAGUAGACAUUCCUAGAACAUGGAAAGCGAUGGAAGCACUCCAUGAAUCGGGAAAGGCACGAGCCAUAGGUGUAAGCAAUUUCUCGACCAAGAAACUAGGUGAUCUCUUGGAGUUAGGUCGUGUUCCUCCUGCUGUUAAUCAGGUCGAGUGUCAUCCUUCUUGGCGACAAACUAAGCUACGAGAGUUCUGCAAAUCCAAAGGAGUUCACCUUAGUGUAAGCAUUACUCAUCUCACCAAUCGAUUUACUAUUAUCCAUUUGUCAAUAUGUGACAUGCCUUAUACUACAUUGAUUGAAUAUUCUUGCAAUGCAAGGCGUACUUUCCAUUGGGUUCUCCAGGAACAACGUGGCUUAAAAGCGAUGUUUUGAAGAACCCAAUACUGAAUAUGGUUGCGGAGAAGCUUGGAAAAUCUGCUGCUCAAGUUGCACUUCGCUGGGGACUCCAAAUGGGUAACAGUGUACUUCCCAAAAGUACCAAUGAAGGAAGAAUCAGAGAGAACUUAGAUAUUUUCGACUGGUCAAUACCCGAUGACUUGUUCGCCAAGUUUUCUGAGAUUGAGCAGGUACAGCUAAAUCCACACGUCGGUUUCAAAUAAACUUUGUUGCUCUGUUUUUCCUCUGUUUGAUCUAGAAUUAAGAGUUUUGUGUGUAUUUGGAUUAAAUGCAGGCUAGGUUAUUGAAUGCUUACUUCUUUGUUCACGAGACACUGAGCCCUUACAAGUCUGUCGAAGAAUUAUGGGAUGGGGAGAUAUAAUAAUCAGCUAGCGAUAUAUUUGUUUUCUGUCUGUGGUUUUUGGUUUGUUCAUGAAUGUUACAGAAAAGACUUGUCACUGAGAUAAUUUACGAUCAUAUUUGUUUAUAUUUUAAAUUUUGAAUUUUGAAGUAAAAGAGAUAUGUGUUUUUUUUUUGAACAUCUACAAAGAUAAGUGAUCUAAUUCUACAAUUGAAAUGUAUUAUAGACUAGUCACCGAAAAUCGAAAAAAUGAAACUUGCAUAUGGUUGUGACCAUACCAAUCAAACCCUACAUUCACAUUGCAUUAGAGCUAAAUGUCCAAACGAGUGAUCAAACCUAAAAUAAUAAGGAUUUAUAAUCGAAAAUGAAUAUGUCAACAAAUUGUAAUUUUGAGACGGCAGCUUCUGAAUCUCGCAUUAAAAAAAAAAUUAAGAUAAUGCAAAAUUUAUAAGGACCAUAAAUCAUUCUUCUCUUUGUCUAACUGAUUUUGAGAUGGAGCUCAAAUGCUCAAUUUUCUUACAAUCUUAUGCUGACAAAGAGAUUCUGUAACAAUUCUUAGAUUUACAAGUAUACAUAUCUUUGUAGUUGAGCUCUUUUCGUAUUAGAGUAUUUGAACUUUGAUGUAUUCAAGUUUAUUUAAACCAAAACCGACGCCAUCAAUGACUCAAGAGCAAUUUACAAUCAUGCGAUUAUGUGAAAUUGAGACACAUACAAACAUAUAUAAGGAGAGCAACAAAAACAAAAUAAACAUACAUACAUAUAUAUGUAUGUAACGGAAAACAACACCGAAAUUGCGACACACCAACAAUUAAAAAAAUUUCAUCGGAAAAGAAACUAUUAAUACUCACAUGCCUGAAUACUCAUAUGCAGUAGUAUCAUAUGCAGUAGUAUCUGUAUAUCCAUCGGUCAUUGUUGCAAAGGCCACCUGGCCUGCUACCGUAGCAGUUACAGCUAAAGCAGCCUUGAGGGGACCCAAAAAUCCUCCCGGUUUCUUCUUACCCUUGCUUGAGUCUGGACUGGGAUUUGCUUUUGGAGAACUCGGGUUCAUGUACGGAUGCUGAGGUUGAUGACCACCAACAUGAGGGAAUGGCCCAUACGGAUCCAUAUGUCCAUAACCAAAAGGGAUUCCUUGACCAUAAUGGUGCGGCGACGAUGGUUGUCCCUGUCCCGCGUGGUCAUGCAAGCUUCUCUGCUUCACUAUGGUUGUUGCACGAGGAGACGAGGCCGCAUGCAUCGGACCGUGUGCGCAAUGCGGGUGAGAUUCAAAACUACAGUGCUUGCAUUUGUAGAACAUCCCUUGGAUGUAGACUCGGCAAACAUAGCAUCCACGCUCGGCCAUGUGCGUGGGACCGGUGAUGAGGCUUAGCUCAUGAUCAGGCGCGUGCCAUGAGUAUCUGAGGGUUGCAGGACAAGUGGCACAAUAUUCGUGGAGAUCGUAAUCGCAGUCCUUGCACCGGUAUGUCUUGCCGUCUCCGUACAGUUUGCAACCAUUGCAUGUGUAUGUUCCUACAACGUUAGCUUCGGUCAAGGGAUGGUUAUGCGUGAAAUGUUGAAUCGUGUUCGGUUUUGACAUCCUCCCGUGCCGUUUUGGGUGUUGAACUGGAGCACGGUUUAGGUAAUGCUAGCUUUUGAUUUUCUUGGUGCUAGUUAUCAGUGGAAAUGUUUGCAAAAUCUGCAAUAGCCUUCUUCUGUUAUUAAUACAAAUUUAGUUGACUUUGGUGGAGUUGACCGAUCAUACAAAGAAAAUGUCACUUGUGUUAUAAUUUUUCUGUUUCAAGUUGUUGAUAUUAUACACGAAUUUACGUUGAAAUGUUCUAUUACAUGUCUGGUUUUCAACUGAGGACGUGUCUUCAAGUUUUCAACCAUUACAGUAAUACUAGUGGUAUAUAAGAAAAAGGAAAAAACAACAAUUACAAACUGAGCCGGCCACUAUCAUAUAUAUAAUUCCUUGAUGCUAACAAUUGAAUAUUUUCAGAAGAAAAUGAAAAUCCCUAAAAAAAUCGGUAAAAAAAAAGGGGUUAAAUGGUUGUUGAAUCGACAUUUUUUUAUUUAGUUUUAUACAUUUAUUUUAUUUUUACACAUGUUUUUAGAAAAUAUAUCCUAUUUUUUUUAAUAAAAGCACUCUAUAGAAAAUAUAUUUGAACGAAAUAUUAAGGCCCAAGUCAUUACCCUUUAUGGGCUAAGCAAGUCCAUUAUACCCAACUCAUUUCAUCAUUUUCCUUUUUUCUCCUCUUUUGAUCAAUUUCACUUAGUGUCGCUUUCACGAGAUACAUAUCGUACCUCCGAUAAUGGCGGAGGAAAUCGGAUUAUUCGAGCUCAACACCGGAGCGAAGAUACCAUCAGUCGGUCUCGGAACGUGGCAGGCUGAUCCUGGUCUCGUCGGAAACGCCGUCGAAGCCGCUGUUAAGGUUCGUCUGUGAUUUUGUGGCUUCGUGGUCACUGGUCACUGAUCGUUGCGUUUUAGGAUUUAUGGCCAAAUCUGUAUAGCUGAAUUGCUAGUUCCUCUUUGUUUCUUUAUUGAGUUAGUCAUUUUCACCUAAAUUGAUUUACACUUCUAACGAAAAAAACUGAAGAUUCUUCUACUAUGCAGAUCGGCUAUCGGCACAUUGAUUGUGCUCAAAUCUAUGGAAACGAGAAGGAGGUAAGCAUAGUCAUCUUUGGUUUCAAGGAUUUUGUAUAUUUCGUUUAGAUUAUGGUUCUGUUCCUUGUAUAAGUUUUGAAAGUUUUAGGUUAAGCUGUAUUGGUUCAUGAUUGUUAAUAUUUCCAGUCUUUAGUUUCAUACUUGUAUCUCGCUUCUUGAUGCAAAAACAUUGUGCUCUUGAUUAUGCGUAUGCUGUGUAUCACAAUGGGUUGCUUAACACUGCUCAUCUUUAGUUGCCUUGUUUGAUCAUGUUUUGCUCGUUUCCUCAAGCUCCAAUCUUGAUUGUAGAUAUGUAUUCAUUAUCCUGUAUCUCUCUGUUUUGAUGACCAAGAAAUCUCUUAGAACAAUAUUAUUUUGCCUACAUAUCUUAAUAUUUGGGUUAAUUUAUUGACAUGAUCUCUGUUGUUUGUAAACUGUGCUAUUGUUUUGAAUCUAGAAAUAACAGGCUCGUCGUUAAUCAACAAUGAUUGAUUUAAUGACUGACAGAACACACCUGUAUUUAUUUGCCACUGACAACUUCUUCCUACUGCAGAUUGGGUUAGUCCUGAAGAAAUUGUUCGAUGAUGGAGUUGUUAAGCGUGAGGAAAUUUUCAUCACAUCGAAACUCUGGUAUUCUGCAUCACUAUGCUUUAAUUACCUUAUAGAUUAUUUCUUCUUUUUUCCGGUAAUCAGUUGUCAAGUCUGUGGAUCGUCUAACCUGGUCACUUGCUCAUAUGAAAGGUGUACUUAUCAUGAUCCUCAAGAUGUGCCAGAGGCUCUGUACAGAACUCUACAGGAUCUACAGCUUGACUAUGUUGAUUUGUAUCUCGUAAGUAAUAUAUUAGGAAACCUUUUCUUGUUCCUUUCGACGAAUUAUCCAUGUGUGUUUCUCUUCAACAUAACUUGCAGUGAUCCAAAUUGGUUCCUGAACCUGAGUUGUGCUUUUAGAUGUGGUUUGAUUUAUGUGUAUGUUACUGCAUUUGUUAAGAUUUGAGAAUCUUAGGACUCUUGUGAAAUAUUGGUCGAACAUCUAAGCCUUUUUCAAUUGACAUCUUGCGCCAUUUUGUGGAACCAAUUCAACUGAUCAACAGUUUUUGUGACCCUUUUGCAGAUCCACUGGCCUGUUAGCCUCAAGAAAGGUUCUACUGGUUUUAAGCCAGAGAACAUUCUGCCAACUGAUAUUCCUAGCACAUGGAAAGCAAUGGAAGCACUCUUUGAUUUGGGAAAGGCCCGAGCUAUUGGUGUAAGCAACUUUUCCUCAAAGAAACUCGCAGAUCUCUUGGAGGUGGCUCGCGUCCCUCCUGCUGUUAACCAGGUGGAGUGUCACCCUUCGUGGCAACAAACUGUGCUCAGGGAUUUCUGUAAAUCUAAAGGCGUUCACCUCUCUGUAUGUAGCACAAACAUUUGCCAUAACCUUUUUGCAAAACUGACAAAAGAUCUCGGAAAUAUUAAACAUUAGUUGAUAUUUUUUUGUAGGGAUACUCUCCGUUGGGUUCUCCAGGGACAACGUGGCUUAAGAGUGAUGUUCUAAAGAACCCGAUUCUAGUUGCGGUUGCUGAGAAGCUCGGCAAGAGUCCUGCGCAAGUUGCAUUACGCUGGGGUCUCCAAAUGGGUCAAAGUGUUCUUCCAAAAAGCACCCAUGAAGACAGAAUCAAACAGAAUUUCGAUGUUUUCAAUUGGUCCAUACCACAUGACAUGUUAUCCAAGUUUGCUGAGAUUGAACAGGCAAGUGAUUGCAUUCCAAAUAGGUCAAAAGCUUUCUCUGUUUUUGCUCAUGUACUCCGCUUAUCUAAAAUUUAAGAUGUGUUUCAAUGCUCUGCAGGGUAGAUUGGUGAGAGGCAUGUCAUUUGUUCAUGAGACUAGUCCUUAUAAGACUCUUGAACAACUUUGGGACGGUGAGAUAUGAGACUCAUCAUUGGAUGUGCCAAAUCAAUUACGGAUUUGUCAUAGAUCUAUUUAUUAGUACUGUAACUUGUUUCCUAGAGAAAGAUACACCAUUUUACGCAUAAUAAACUCUCUCAAAGUGAUCCUCCUACGUUUUCAAAGUCUUCUUUAAAAAACACUGCUGCCCUAGUUAUAUUGGAUUCCGGAUCCAUUAUAGUAAAGAACUUUAGAUGCAAGUUAUUGUAAGAUGUGGCGUAUAUUUAAAGAUGGUAAACACCGAAUACAUUUGAGACCAUUGCAAACAUUGUUUCGAAAAUAACUAAGAACUUUCGAUUUCUUGUGGUUACAAAAGAGAAAUCUUGUGUUCACUUACACGGCUAACUUUAACGUGCUCGUUAAUUAGAAACUCAUAUAAUGUGUGGUAGAGUAGUUUAGUUGACUGGCUAUAUAUGCCUUAAUGGUCAAUCCGUCCUCUUCCUCAUAAAUACAUUUCAUUUUCUUAAUGAUCAAGGACAGUGCUCCUAUUUUCACAAUAGAAAAUGGACUGUUACAAUGACAUUGUUAAUCUCAAAAGUAAAAUAUUUUUAUUCUAACUUAAAACUAUCAAUUAAAAAAUAUGUUGAGAAAUUAAUGUUUUAUGUAUGGAAUUAGUUACACACAAGUACGAGUCCAACGGAAAGAUUCUCGGAAAUGUAGACCGAUCGAAAUGGUGAAAAAUCAUAAAAAUAAAGAAUUAAAAAGAAAAAAUGGUAAUUGUGGAAAUUAAUAGUCCAACCAAAAGCUGUACCAAAACAUCCAAUGUAGUAAAUAAAUAUAGUUUGAACCAUCAAAAGAAAAUCAAAAUAAAAUGAUGAGGAAAUUAUGGAGAUCAAAUAUACGAGCAAAGAUAUUUUAAAGUUGAACAAGGAAUAAAUAUUGAUACUACUUGCCAGAGAUGUGGUCCAUGUGGAGCUAUUGAGUUAAUGAUGUAGAUAGAGAAUCUUAAUUUAUCUAGAUUUACCAACUUCUAUUGGGUUAAUGUUUUACGUACCUGUAUAAACACUCUAGUUUGUGAAUUAAUUAAUACAACCAACCUUUUUUAUCCAAUUUAGUUUGGGAGCGGUGGAGGAAAAAAUAACUACACUAAGUAUCUUUCUUUCUCACAAAAUUGGAUUUUAUCACCGAUCUUGUUGAUUCAAGAUCAUUUUCCAACAAAUUCGAUUAAUACGAACGUGAAUCUCUUUUGGAAAAUUUCAUAUUGAUCCGAUGACUAAGUGGUUUAAUUAUUUGGAAAAAAAAAACAAAUGACAUGGUUUUUCACUUUUCAGGGUACUUUAUUUUUUUUUUUUCUUCACAUUUAGUAAAUUUCUUGUUCAAAACGAAAAAGAAAAGAAACAUCACGAAUAGAUCAUAAGACAUAUAAAAUGGCAGGAUGUAAAUGUUCGAGACGUGCCAUUUCAAAAGCUGCCGCUAUUUAAGGAAUUCAGUGAUCGGUGAAGCGAUGAUAUUGCAAACAACACCAACCGUUACAUUCUUCAAAACCCUAAAGAUUCUUCUUCCUGUACUCGAACCGGACGCCAAUGACGAUGGUGACUCGGCUAAGAUACACUCCGUAUGAAUAUCGAACUUACAGAGCUCACACCUAAACCUCCAAGAUUGGCACGAGCCGUGACAAACCAUACACGUGCUGGCUCCCCCGAGGCGAAACUCCAAGUGAUGAGCAGGGUGAAGCACGUGCCUCACGUGCUGAGGCAGCUGCGUGCAGAGCGGGUGUACGUCGAACUCACAUAGCUUGCAUCUGUAGAACAAACCCUCGACGGACUCGUUGCAGAUGUCGCACACGCGUUCGUUCUGGCGCGUGGACUGCUUUUGACGGAAGAGGCUGAGCUCGUGCUGGGGAUGAGUGAAGUUUUGGAGGGUGAAGGGACACGUGGCGCAGUAUUCGUGGAGAUCGUAGUCGCAUGUUUCGCAUCGAUAGGUUUUGUCUGAGCCGUAGGUUUCGCAGCCGUCGCAGAUGAAGUCACGGGCGAUGUUCGUUUCCAUUAGUGGAUGGUUGUGCGUGAAAUGCUGAACGACGCGAUGUUUUGGAGCCAUCUUUACCGUUUUUGGUGUGUGUGUGUGUGUGUGUGUUCUUUUUUUAGAAUGGUUAGGAUUUGAGAGAAGAAACGGUGGUAUAUAUAAGAACGAAUACUUUUUGAGACGAAUCCAAACAUUGUUUCGGACAUAACUAAGAACUUUCGAUUACUCGUGCUUACAAAAGAGAACACUUUUGUUGACUUGUCCAGCUAAGGUUAACAUGCUCUAGAAAUGUGUGGUAGAGUAACUCAGUUGACUGACUAUGUAUGCCUUAACGGUCAAUGUGGCCUCUUCCUCAUAAUCACAUGCAUAUCCACAUUUCAUUGUCUUGAUGAUCACGGACUGCGCUUCAAUAUUCACAAGUAGAAUAUGGACUGGCUUAAAGUGAAAUGUUAAUCUCAAAAGUAAAAAAUUUUUAUACAAACUUAAAACUAUCAACUAAAAGACGACAAAUAAAACCUAUCAGUUAAAAAAUAUGUUAAGAGAUUAAUGUUUUAUGUAUGGAAUUGAUUUCUUAGUUUAGUUGUUGUGUUUUUUUCUGUUCCAGUUAAAGAUUUUUAUUUUGUCUAUAUAUCUUGUAGAAGUUUGAAAUAGUUCUGUUUGGUGAACUGGGGGUAAUUCUAUAGCUAGUGCGCACAGGCUGAGAGAAUUUGUAUAUUUUUUUAUUAAUGGUUUCUAAAUAGAAACUUAUAAAAGGUUUACUAAAACAUAUAAACAUUCCAAAGAAUUUCCAUUAAACACUUCAAAAAGUUAUUUGGACGCAAAUUAAAGAAAGGUGUGGCAUAUACCACAUACUUCUUUUUAGUAAUUUAAGUUCAUGAAUAUCAUUCAGCCAAACAUAAAAAUAAAAGAGAUGUGCCUCAACUCAAUUAAGAACAAAAGAAAGUUCUCCAGCCUAAAUCAUUUUUAAUGAACUUAAUAACUUUUCUAAAACCCUAUUUUGUUGACUCAAUAUUUUCUCCUAAUUGGUUGUCUAUAACAAUUUUUAUACUGUGGCUGAGCUAAUAAUUUGUUCGUUAAGAGCAAUUCUACUUCUUCUUCGAAAAGAUCUAUGACAUUAGACUCUUUUUUUGAUGCUAUUGUUACUAUAUUUUUCGAUAAAUUAUUUUAUUACAUACAAAAGAAUGUGUGUUUCGUAUUAAAUAAAUUUCUGGAUCCGCUCUGCUGUGUACCCCAUUUUAUUUGGACAUGCAUGUGGAAUAAGGUAGUUGUAAGGCCAAGAGAAAAGCCUUAAAAACACACGUACGAAUCCAACGGAAUACGUAGAUUCUCGGAAAUGUAGACCGAAAUGGUGAAUUCAUAAAAAUAAAUAAUUAAAAAGAGAAAAAUGGAAAUUGUGGAAAUUAAUAGUCCAACCAAAAGCUGUACCAAAACAUCCAAUGUAGUAAAUAGUUUGAAACAUCAAAAGAAAUCAAAAUAAAAUGAUGAGGAAAUUAUGGAGAUCAAAUAGAUGAGCAAAGAUAGACGAGUAGAUGAGCAAAAAUAUUUUAAAGUUGAAUGAGGUAUAAAUAUUGAUACUACUUGCCAGAGAAGUGGUUCAUAUGGGGCGCUAUUGAGAUAAUGAUGUAGAGAAUCUUAGUUUAUCUAGAUUUACCAUUAUCUUUAGUUCCCAUUUCUAUUCGGUUAAUGUUUUGCGUACUUGUAUAAACACUCUCUAGUUUGUGAAUUAAUAUACAACCAACUUUUUUAUACAAUUUAGUUUGGGAGCGGAGAAGGAAAACAAUUACCCUUCAGUAUCUUUCUUUCUUACAAAUUUGGAAUUUAUCACCCAUCUUUUUUUAUUCAAGAUCAUUUUCCAACGAAUUCGGUUAGUAUGAUCGUGAAUCUCUUUUGGACAAUCCCAAAUUGAUCCGAUGACACCGUAAGUUAUGUGGUUUAUUUGAAAAAAAACAAAUCCUAAUGGUCUUUUAAGGUACUUUUUAAUUUAAUUUAUUGUUCAAAACGAAAAAGAAAACAAACAUCACGAAUAUAUAAUGGCAGGAUGUUAAUUUCAAAAGCUGCCGCUAUUUAAGGGCUUCGGAGAUCGGUCCAGCGAUGAGAUUGCAAACAACCCCAACCGUUAGAGCCUUCAAAACCCUAAACAUUCUUCUUCCUAUACUUGGACGACGCGACGCCAAUGACGAUGAUUGUCCUCCCUGUGCCUUAAGCCCUCUGCUUUUAGUACCCGAUUCAUCGGUCUGGUUAGAAGGUGACGUGUUGCACACGGCUAAGAUACACUCAAUAUGAAUAUCGAACUUGCAGAGCUCACACCUAUACCUCCAAGAUUGGCACGAGCCUUGACAAACCAUACACGUGCUCUCUCCACCGAGGCGAAACUCCAAGUGAUGAGCAGGGUGAAGCACGUGCCUCACGUGCUGCGGCAGCUGCGUGCAGAGCGGAUGUACGUCGAACUCACAUAGCUUGCAUCUGUAGAACAAACCCUCGACGGACUCGUUGCAGAUGUCGCACACGCGUUCGUUCUGGCGCGUGGACUGCUUUUGACGGAAGAGGCUGAUCUCGUGCUGGGGAUGAGUGAAGUUUUGGAGGGUGAAGGGACACGUGGCGCAGUAUUCGUGGAGAUCGUAGUUGCAUGGCUCGCAUCUAUAGGUUUUGUCUGAGCCGUAGGUUUUGCAGCCGUCGCAGAUAAAGUCACAUGCGAUGUUCAACUCCGUUAGUGGAUGAUUGUGCGUGAAAUGCUGAACGGCGCGCGGUUUUGGUGUCUUUGAAGCCAUCUUUAGCGUUUUUGGUGUGUGUGUGUGUGUUUUUUUAAAAAAAGGUUCGGAUUUGAGAAAAUAAACGGUGGUAUAAGAACGAAUACUUUUGAGAUGAUUCCAAAUAUUGUUUCGGAAAUAAAUAAGAACUUUCGCUAGACUGGUUACAAAAGACUGAAAGAUAGUACUUUUGUUGACUUGUCUAGAUAAGGUUAACGUGCUCUAGAAAUGUGUGGUACCGUAAUUUAGUUGACUGACUAUGUAUGACUUAACGAUCAAUAUUGUGGCCUCUUCCUCAUAAUCACAUAUCAACAUUUCAUUGUCUUCAUGAUAAAGGACUGCGCUCCAAUUUUCACAGUAGAAAAUGGACUGGAUUACAGUGAAAUGUUAAACUCAAAAGUAAAAUAUUUUUAUUCAAAAUUAGAACUAUCAUUUAAAAGACGAUAAAUAAAACAUAUCAGUCAAAAAAUAUGUUAAGAGAUUAAUGUUUUAUGUAUGGAAUUGAUUUCUUAGUUUAGUUGUAGUGUUUUUUUUUUUUUACUUCCAAUUAAAGAUUUUUAUUAUGUCUAUAUGUCUUGUAGAUGUUUGAAAUAGGUCUAUUUGGUGGACUGUGGGGAACUCUAGUUCGCACAGGCUGAGAUCUAUGAUGGUAUAGACUUUUUUUUAAUGCUAGUGUUACUAUAUUUUUCGAUAAAUUAUUUUAUUACUUACACAACAAAAAAUGUUUGUUCCAGAUUAAAUAAAUUUCUGAAUCCGCUCGUGUACCCAUUUUGUUUGGACAUGCAUGUGGAACAAGGUGGUCGUAAGGCCAAGAGAAAAGCCUUGCAUACACGUACGAGUCCAACGGAAUACGAAGAUUCUCGGAAAUGUAGACCGAAGUGGUGGAAAUAGUCCAACCAAAACUGUUCCAAAACAUCCAAUAGUAAAUAGUUUGAAACAUCAAAAGAAAAAUGAUACGAAAUUAUGGAGAUCAAAUAGACUUGCCAGAGAUGUGGUCCAUGUGGAGUUAUUGAGAUAAUGAUGUGCAGAAGAGUCUUAGUCCAUUAUCUUUAGUACCAAUUUCUUCUAUUGGGUUUAUAUUUACGUACUUGUAUAAACAUUCUAGUUUAUGAAUUAAUAGAAUCAACUUUUUUAUCCAAUUUAGUUUGGAAGCGGAGGAAACAAUUACCCUGAGUAUCUUUCUUUCUUACAAAUUUGGAAUUUAUCACCGAUCAUGUUGAUUCAAAAUAAUUUUCCAACGAAUUCGGUUAAUACGAACGUGGAUCAUCUCUUUUGAACAAUUCCAAAUAAAUAAAAUCCGAUGACACUGUAAAUUAGGUGGUUUAUCUGGAAAAAAUAAAUAAAGUAAAAAUGGUAUUUUUCAGGGUGCUCAACCGGAGUCGCCUUAAUAUGGUAACACGUACUUUUUAAAAUUUUCUAAAUUUAUUGUAUAAAAAGAAAAAGAAAUCAAACAUAUAUAACGAAAAAGAAAGCAAACAUAACGAAAAAAAAAAACGAAAAAGAAAACAAACAUAACGAAUAGAGAAACAAGACAUAGCAUGGCAGGAAGUUAAUGUUAGAGACGUGCCAUUUCAAAAGCCGCCGCUAAAGGCUUCGGAGACCGGUGCAGCGAUGAUAUUGCAAACAACACCAACCGUUAGAGCCAUCAAAACGCCAAACAUUCUUCUUCCUAUACUUGGACGCGACUCUUGAACAUGACCUUGAUGAUUUGUAUAUCCGUGAUUGUAAUAAGGCUGGUAAUACUGAGAAGGGUGAUAAUACGGUUGUGACCCAUCAUAACACCUCUCCUGAAACGUCGUCGCUGCGACUGAUGAUGCUGACGAAUUAACGCAUUCCAUGUGAACAUCUAACCGGCAUGGACCACACUUGUACCGCCAAGACCGGAUUGCCCCGUGGCAAACCAUGCACGCGCUGCUUGCUCCCCAAUGACUCAGGUCUAAGAGAUGGGCCUGAUGGGGCACGUGCCUCACGUGCUGAGGCAGCCACGUGCAGAGUGGAUGGACGUCGAAGCCGCAAGGCUCGCAUUGGUAAAAGAGCCCUUCGGCUGAUUCGUCGCAGAUGUCGCACAUACGUUUGUCAUGGUGCGUCUGCUCUGGUCCUCUAAAGACUAGUCGUAGCUCGUGUUGUGGAUGCAUGAAGCUGAGGAGGGUAGGGGGACACGUAGCGCAGUGAUCGUGGAGAUUGUAGUCGCACCAGGAGCAACGGUAGGUCUUCCCAAAACCGUAGGUUUUGCAGCCAUUGCAUGUGAACUCGCCAUAUCCAUCAAACUUUGUUAAUGGAUGCAUAUGGGUGAAAUGUUGGACUACGUGACUUGACGAAGACAUUUCGUGGUUCUUAUUUGUUUGUUCUUGAGAACGGUUAAGAUUUGAGAGAAUGAGUGGGGUGGUUUAAAAAGAACUAGUUUUUAGAACCAUUCUCAAACAAACUUUUUUUGGCAACUUGACUACUUGAGUUAAAACUUUGGUUUAGAGUCUUUAGACCAUCAAACAAAUAAUAGUUUCUGUAUAGCUGUCCUUACAAAAAUAUUAGCUUUCGUUCACUUGUACGCCAAAAACAAUAACUUUAACUUGGUCUUUAGAAAUUUUGAGAACGUGGUGAAGUAGUGUAGUUGACUUUGGCUAGUUGACUGAAUUUGGCCUCUUUUGAUUCGCGUCACAAUUUCUUUUUUUUUUUCAUUUUUUUUAAAACGUAUGAGUUUUUUAGUCGAUUUUCACAAAUAAAUCUACACAAUAAAUAUUCAUUUCUUUCGAAUAUUUUCCAAUGGUCGAAGAACAUGAUAUAUCAAGAAAUAAUUUCCCUUUGUUAUUGAGUCAGAUUGGAUGUAAACCAUAGCUUAAUCUGUUGUUUGAGAAUCAGAUUUUUACUCCAUGGUUAUUCCUCCCACGAUGUAUACUCCAUGUGCUUGUAUUUUGUAAGUUAUGAUCGCACCUCAUUCCAAGAACCUGAAAGCAUCAUGACAUGCCUUGGAUUGGGUAGCCUUAUCAACCCAUGAUUAACGUUUUAUCGCCUCUUGACUUUUUUUUAUACGUUCAAAUGAAUGGAUUUUUUCUACUAUCCAAACAACAUAAUUAUUACAAAAAUAUAUAUCUAAAUUGUAAUGUUUUUCUAUUUAAAUGAUAUAUAGUUGAUAAAUGAUUGUUUUCGAUCUUUCCUAGUAUCUAUUCGGAAGAACAAAUUGGUGAUUAUUUAUUACAGUUAACAUAAUUUUCAGUGUUGUGAUUUUAUUUUACACAACUGUGUAGCAAAAAAAGGAAAAGUAGAGAACCUGAUACAAACUGAUUUGCAUAAAGUUUGAGACUUUGAGUGGUUACUUUGGCCAGAAUGAUUUUUAUUUGUUGAAAAAGUUUCUGCAUUUUUGGCACAAAAUAUUAAAAUACAAAAAAAAAACAACAAAAUAAUACAUGUUUGCGUUUUCUUUGUAAAAAUUCAAAACUCACGCAAAAAGACUUUCAACGGAAAGCCCAAACAGUACAUUAGAAACCACCCCAAUUGUUAGCUUCGACGCAACGGUAAACAUUCUCCAGCCCUUACCCGGAUUCGGCUUUUGACCCGCUCCGGCCACUGGUACUUGGCCCUGGUCAUAUCGAACCCGUUCAUGUAACUAAAGUUAUUAGGGUUAGAGAUGAUAAGGCUGUGACCAUACGCAUAAGGGUAACCAAAAGCCGGUUGUUGACCCAUCGGUCCAUAACCAUAAGGGUAACCAACAUGCGGUUGUUGCCACGACGCCGAUGAAGAUGGUUGUCCUCCAUGUGCCUUGAGCCCUCUGCUUUUAAUACCCGAUUCAUCUGUCGGGUCAGAAGGUGACGUGUUACACACGGCUAAGAUACACUCCAUAUGAAUAUCAAACCUACAUAGCUCACACCUAUAUCUCCAAGACUGGCACGGGCCACGACAAACCAUACACGCGCUUGCUCCACCGAGGCGAAACUCCAAGUGAUGAGCAGGGUGAAGCACGUGCCUCACGUGCUGAGGCAGCUGCGUGCAGAGCGGGUGUACGUCGAACUCACAUAGCUUGCAUCUGUAGAACAAACCCUCGACAGACUCGUUGCAGAUGUCGCACGCGCG
rnacentral:lncRNA from 1 species